UGGGGAAUUUUGGACAAUGGGCGAAAGCCUGAUCCAGCAAUGCCGCGUGUGUGAAGAAGGCCUUCGGGUUGUAAAGCACUUUUGUCCGGAAAGAAAUCCUCUGGGUUAAUACCUCGGGGGGAUGACGGUACCGGAAGAAUAAGCACCGGCUAACUACGUGCCAGCAGCCGCGGUAAUACGUAGGGUGCAAGCGUUAAUCGGAAUUACUGGGCGUAAAGCGUGCGCAGGCGGUUUUGUAAGACGGAUGUGAAAUCCCCGGGCUUAACCUGGGAACUGCAUUCGNGACUGCAAGGCUAGAGUAUGGCAGAGGGGGGUAGAAUUCCACGUGUAGCAGUGAAAUGCGUAGAGAUGUGGAGGAAUACCGAUGGCGAAGGCAGCCCCCUGGGCCAAUACUGACGCUCAUGCACGAAAGCGUGGGGAGCAAACAGGAUUAGAUACCCUGGUAGUCCACGCCCUAAACGAUGUCAACUAGUUGUUGGGGAUUCAUUUCCUUAGUAACGUAGCUAACGCGUGAAGUUGACCGCCUGGGGAGUACGGUCGCAAGAUUAAAACUCAAAGGAAUUGACGGGGUCAUAGCUGUUUCCU
rnacentral:rRNA from 1 species